rnacentral:rRNA from 1 species
GACGAACGCUGGCGGCGUGCCUAAUACAUGCAAGUAGAACGCUGAAGCGAGGAGCUUGCUCUUCUUGGAUGAGUUGCGAACGGGUGAGUAACGCGUAGGUAACCUGCCUUGUAGCGGGGGAUAACUAUUGGAAACGAUAGCUAAUACCGCAUAACAAUGGAUGACACAUGUCAUUUAUUUGAAAGGGGCAAUUGCUCCACUACAAGAUGGACCUGCGUUGUAUUAGCUAGUAGGUGAGGUAAUGGCUCACCUAGGCGACGAUACAUAGCCGACCUGAGAGGGUGAUAGGCCACACUGGGACUGAGACACGGCCCAGACUCCUACGGGAGGCAGCAGUAGGGAAUCUUCGGCAAUGGGGGCAACCCUGACCGAGCAACGCCGCGUGAGUGAAGAAGGUUUUCGGAUCGUAAAGCUCUGUUGUAAGUCAAGAACGGGUGUGAGAGUGGAAAGUUCACACUGUGACGGUAGCUUAACAGAAAGGGACGGCUAACUACGUG